rnacentral:rRNA from 1 species
UACGUAGGGGGCAAGCGUUGUCCGGAAUCAUUGGGCGUAAAGCGCGUGUAGGCGGCCCGGUAAGUCCGCUGUGAAAGUCGGGGGCUCAACCCUCGAUGCCGGUGGAUACUGUCGGGCUAGAGUGCGGAAGAGGCGAGUGGAAUUCCUGGUGUAGCGGUGAAAUGCGCAGAUAUCAGGAGGAACACCAGUGGCGAAGGCGG